CCAGAAGAAGCAACAAUCAUAGAAAUGAACGAGCCAGUAUCAUUGACAUUUGCAUUGAGGUACAUGAACUCCUUCACCAAGGCGACCCCAUUGUCAAACACGGUUACAAUCAGCUUGUCUUCAGAGCUCCCCGUUGUGGUUGAGUACAAGAUCGCUGAGAUGGGUUAUAUCAGGUUCUACUUGGCUCCAAAGAUAGAAGAAGAUGAGGAUGAGACCAAGCCCCAAGCUUAAACGGGUGGAAGAUAAGGAUGUGACUAAAUCCCAAGUUUAAACGGAUGGAAGAUGAGGAUGGGAUGAAGCCCCAACUUUAAUUGUCACUUGCAUUACUAGUCUUGUCUUCUUGUUCCUUGCAUUCACUGGAAAAA
rnacentral:misc_RNA from 1 species